rnacentral:tRNA from 1 species
AGGGGCUUAGGCUAACCAAAGACCAGGGGCCUUCAAAGCCCCCAGUGGGGGUGAAAAUCCCCCAGCCCCUG